CCUACGGGGGGCUGCAGUCGAGGAUCUUCCGCAAUGGGCGAAAGCCUGACGGAGCGACACCGCGUGCAGGAUGAAGGCCUUCGGGUUGUAAACUGCUGUCACGCCAUAGGAACCCCUGAAUGUGAAUAGCAUUCAGGCUGACUAAAGCGAGAGGAAGCACCGGCUAACUCUGUGCCAGCAGCCGCGGUAAGACAGAGGGUGCAAACGUUGCUCGGAAUCACUGGGCAUAAAGCGCACGUAGGCGGUCCGCUAAGUCUGAUGUGAAAUCCCUCGGCUCAACCGGGGAACUGCAUUGGAUACUGGCGGGCUUGAGAGUUGUAGGGGUGGACGGAACUCCAGGUGGAGCGGUGAAAUGCGUAGAUAUCUGGAGGAACACCGGAGGCGAAAGCGGUCCACUGGGCAACUUCUGACGCUGAGGUGCGAAAGCUAGGGUAGCAAAC
rnacentral:rRNA from 1 species